CUUCCGGAAACCGAAGUUGGACCGCGGGAGGCGCGGUACACCUCGGUCCAACGCGGGGGAACCACAUUCGGUUCACACGAACCUUGGGGUGAAGCUCGGGGAACCGAGCCGGGCGUCCCGCCCGAAUCCGACAGCUGACCUCGCAGGCAUAACAGGGAGAACAU
rnacentral:sRNA from 2 species